UGGGGAAUUUUGGACAAUGGGGGAAACCCUGAUCCAGCCAUCCCGCGUGUGCGAUGAAGGCCUUCGGGUUGUAAAGCACUUUUGGCAGGAAAGAAACGUCAUGGGUUAAUACCCCGUGAAACUGACGGUACCUGCAGAAUAAGCACCGGCUAACUACGUGCCAGCAGCCGCGGUAAUACGUAGGGUGCAAGCGUUAAUCGGAAUUACUGGGCGUAAAGCGUGCGCAGGCGGUUCGGAAAGAAAGAUGUGAAAUCCCAGAGCUCAACUUUGGAACUGCAUUUUUAACUACCGGGCUAGAGUGUGUCAGAGGGAGGUGGAAUUCCGCGUGUAGCAGUGAAAUGCGUAGAUAUGCGGAGGAACACGGAUGGCGAAGGCAGCCUCCUGGGAUAACACUGACGCUCAUGCACGAAAGCGUGGGGAGCAAACAGG
rnacentral:rRNA from 1 species